rnacentral:lncRNA from 1 species
GAAUUGUAAUGCAACUUGUAUAUAUUAUAAUGUAUUCAUGCACUUUGCAGAAAAGUUCAUUUUGAACUAAUUAAAAAGUUAUUGAAAUAAUUAUCAUUACUUUUUCACCUAGAGUUACAUCAAAAAGAACAUCACUAACAGUAGUUGCAUAGAUAUAUAAUAUUGCAAUUUUUCAACCUGGCUAUUAAGGGGUGAUAAAUUAAUCUACUGCUGUGUACAUGUUGCUUAUCUCACAACAGGAGAUUACCACAGACUGAUAAGAUCGUGUCUGCUUUAUAGUAUAUUUAGAAACUCUACCAAGAGGUCAGCCAAUGAAAAUAAAGUCAGGGAACUACUUCUGGCGACUGUGCAUGUACCACAAAAAGUAUAGCACCAUAUGUCAUGUAUGUAUAUAGGUAUGGCAUACAUGAAUGAAUUGGGACCUUAUCAACGUAUUGUGUUCAAAGAAGACCUAACGAAUCCAGCAGUUCAAAAACAUGUUUUGCAGUGAGACGAAUGGUGACAAUGGCUUUGUGGCAGUUAGUGAAAAACUGUGGCAUUUUACACUGAUGAUGGCUACCAUUUACAGAAAAUUUCUCAACCAAUAGUGACAUUCAAUUGAAAGUAAUAGCAUAUCUUACACCGACUAUACAUCAGAAUGCUGUCGAAAAAAGCCAUGGCAAAAAGUGGAAAAUACUGAUCAAUAUACUUCAAUGACUUUGGAACUGAGUAGAAAAUGGUGACAUUUUAGCACCAUAUUGUGUGUAUACUUUUUCUUGCAUUCGCACAGUCCGGCCAGGAUCCAUGCUGUUCACUAAUGGUUUCUAUGGUUGCAAUAGCAUUUGAAAGCGAGCAGCAUGGAUCCUGACCAAAUCGAGCUGAUGCGCAGGCUGGUCUGUAGCCAUGCUGAUCGCAAAGCCUCUAUGUUGGUUUUCUCCUGGCACGGCUCAUAUAUAAAUUCAUGUAUGUAAAUAAUGUUUUGCUUAUGGUAUUUUGUCAGCACAGGUAAUGAAAUACUAAAAAAAACAUAAAAUAUUUUGUUAGUGUUUUGUUUAAAUUUGUGACCUUGCUCUUUUGCAUAUCAUAUGUUUUGUUGGUAUUUUGUUAGCAGUGUUUUGUUAGUGUUUUCUUUAGCACAUAUAAUGAAACACUAAUAAAACAUAAAGUAUUCUGUUAGUGUUUUGUAUAAGCCUAAUUUGCAUAUCAUGUUUUGUUGGUAUUUCGUUAGCAAUGUUUUGUUAGUGUUUUGUUAGUGUUUUGUUACCUCAUUUGCAUGUCAUUUGCUAUACUAAUAAAACAUCAUCAAAACACAG